UACGGAGGGCGCAAGCGUUGUUCGGAAUCACUGGGCGUAAAGCGCGUGUAGGCGGCUUGGUAAGUCGGGUGUGAAAGCCCGGAGCUCAACUCCGGAACUGCAUUCGAAACUAACUCGCUCGAGUCCCGGAGAGGGUGGUGGAAUUCCCGGUGUAGAGGUCAAAUUCGUAGAUAUCGGGAGGAACACCAGUGGCGAAGGCGGCCACCUGGCCGGUGACUGACGCUGAGACGCGAAAGCGUGGGGAGCAAACAGG
rnacentral:rRNA from 1 species